GGCACAGCUGAUGCACAUUCCAUGAUUCACACUUGCAGUAUUUAUACUCGGGCUAUUCACCUCUUCAGCGCCAGAUCGUUACAUACUUCUACGUGAUUCCGCUGGUUACCUGCUUCCUACCUGCCGUGCUCUGCAGUGCUUCCUGCCUCAUGCCACUCAGACAUACCCACCUGCUUCGCCUGGAUUCUACUGUAGAACUCCUUCGGAUCUGCCACUACCUGAUUCCCUCGAGCUUCAGUCCAUUCCCAGAAAUUCCAAGCUCAGUCUCAAUUGUUCAUCUCUCUUGAGUAUUUACGCCUAUUAAAAUACUUGAACUGUU